GUUAAGCCCAUGAGAUGCUGCUUCUGCUGACGACCGGCGCACGGGUGCGUAACGCGUAUACAAUCUGCCUUACACUGGGGGAUAGCCUUUAGAAAUGAAGAUUAAUACCCCAUAGUAUGUUUUUAUCGCAUGGUAAUAACAUUAAAGGUUACGGUGUAAGAUGAGUAUGCGUCCUAUUAGCUAGAUGGUGUGGUAACGGCACACCAUGGCGACGAUAGGUAGGGGCCCUGGGAGGGGGAUCCCCCACACUGGUACUGAGACACGGACCAGACUCCUACGGGAGGCAGCAGUGAGGAAUAUUGGACAAUGGAGGCAACUCUGAUCCAGCCAUGCCGCGUGCAGGAAGACUGCCCUAUGGGUUGUAAACUGCUUUUAUACGGGAAGAAACACCCCCACGUGUGGGGGCUUGACGGUACCGUAAGAAUAAGCACCGGCUAACUCCGUGCCAGCAGCCGCGGUAAUACGGAGGGUGCAAGCGUUAUCCGGAAUCAUUGGGUUUAAAGGGUCCGUAGGCGGACAAUUAAGUCAGAGGUGAAAGUCUGCAGCUCAACUGUAGAAUUGCCUUUGAUACUGGUUGUCUUGAAUUAUUGUGAAGUGGUUAGAAUAAGUAGUGUAGCGGUGAAAUGCAUAGAUAUUACUUAGAAUACCAAUUGCGAAGGCAGAUCACUAACAAUACAUUGACGCUGAGGGACGAAAGCGUGGGGAGCGAACAGGAUUAGAUACCCUGGUAGUCCACGCCGUAACGAUGGAUACUAGCUGUUCGAUUUUCGGAUUGAGUGGCUAAGCGAAAGUGAUAAGUAUCCCACCUGGGGAGUACGUUCGCAAGAAUGAAACUCAAAGGAAUUGACGGGGGCCCGCACAAGCGGUGGAGCAUGUGGUUUAUUCGAUGAUACGCGAGGACCCUUACCAGGGCUUAAAUGUAGUGGGACAGGUCUAGAAAUAGACCCUUCUUCGGACUCAUUACAAGU
rnacentral:rRNA from 1 species